rnacentral:lncRNA from 1 species
UGGUGCCGACUAUGAUGUCACCAAUAACGAUAGCUAGUAUGAUGCCACCGAUGAUGAUGCCAAACAUGGUUUCACCAAUGAUGAUGCCGAGUAUGAUGCCUUCGACGAUGACGCCGAGUAUGAUGCCACCGAUAAUGAUGCCAAGUAUGAUACCACCGAUGAUGAUGCCGAGCAUGGUGUCAUCAAUGAUAAUGCCAAACAUGAUGACAGUGCCACAAUGUUACUCUGAUUCCAUCUCGCACAUUAUACAACAACAACAAUUACCAUUCAUGUUCAGCCCCACAGCCGUGGCGAUCUCACCCAUGUUUUUACAGCAGCCCUUUGUUGGUGCUGCAUUCUAGAUAUAAGCAUUUGUGUUGUACCCAAUAAUGAAGUCGGCAUGCCAUCGCAUGCGACUCAUUGUUUAGGAAUAAAACAAGCUAAUAAUGACUUUUCUCUCAUUAUAAUGUAUAUCUCUCCCUGUCUGUUUGUGUGUUUGCAAUGUCUUUUAC